UUUGUCCCUGAAAACACACUUGUAUUUAAUUUCUCAUUCUAUACAACUUUUUUCUAGUUCUUCUCUGGAUAUUCUUUCUUUUUUUUUCUAAUUCUGCUGCUCUUCCUUUCCACUAAUUGCGUCCAAGUGUGUCUAGGGGUAACAGCUGAUUCUUUUCACAGGAAAAGACGUCAGAUUUUGGAUAAAAAUAAGGUUCCCAAAGAAUGGGAAUAUGACAACCCAAUAAUAGAAAUGAAAUCUGAACUCGCAGACAUCUGACUCACAUCUCAAUUAUUUUUGUCGGAGUUAGAGUUCAGAUGUUUUGCUGAUCUCUGUGGGACAUUAGGCAUAGCCUACUAGAAAUUACGAAGAGUAAUUACAAAGUAGACUGGAAACUGCAUAAAGAGCAUCAAUUACUCACAACUUGGUCACACUCAGGAAAAGAGGAAGAGAAGUGGACUCAAUUUAUGGGAAGUUUCUAUGUGCAACUACCAUGAACAGGAAAUGAAUGGAAGAAUAGAAUCUCUAUCUGCAAAAAUGUAUCUUGGUUUACCUUCUAGAUCACAGUGACUGUAGCUCCAUAUAGAAAUGAUUUCCCCAAUACAUCUGAAAAGGAAACUUGAGAAGGAAAAGGAGUAGGUACAUGAUUUUUGGGCCAAAUGUCACAGAAUACUGUUGAUAAGAGACUUGGGAAAAAUUUUAGACAUCCUGUUGUCCUGAAGGUAAUGAAGUAUCAACGAGGAUCGACCGGUCGAAACUUUGGCUAGAGAGGAAAAAGAAUCUUUCAUUCAAAGCCCUAAGAUAUCUUUGCCAUUAAAAUUCAGCAUGCUUUCAGAAAACAGAUUGAAGAAGGAAUCAAGUACAGUUUUACGACUUCAUAAAUUUUACCAGUCUCUUUUAAGCUCUCUAUUAUUAUUCACUUUUCAAAGACAGUCUAUGGCGUUACAGACUAUCAAAGGAGCAGCCUGGAAAAAAGUAAGCUUUGAGUACCAAUUACUAGAAAGUGUUAUUACAAAAUACUUCUAUCAGUUGACUUAUCAAGACUCCAAAACAGAAAUUGAUUCAGAGAGGAUUGGAAUAUUUUCACCACAACAUUUACUGAUGAUAAAUCACCGGUCAGAAGUCCUUGGAGAAAACUUCUGUACCUAAAAUUGGUACACACAUCUGAGUACUGCGAUGCCUGUGGCUCAACUUGGCAGAAAAAUGUGUACUUAUAAUGCUACAACUUCUGAGUAAGUUGGGGUAAGUAAUACAUAGCUGUACACCUUGGAGUUCCAGGUAGUCUCUGAAUAAUGUCUUGUACUAUACACAACAGCAGAUGUCUCUAAAUGAGCUAUGUGGUAUCUUUCUGCUUGUCCCUUUUUUGGGGAGUGGAAGAGCAAAGUUCUGCUUGGCAAAUUAUUACAGGUUAAGAUUUUACUUUGAGUUUUUAAUCACUUUAUUUUUGUAUACAUGCUUUGUUGUAAUGCUUAGUUUCCACAAAAAAAAAUUGAUUUAUUUUCCACCUCAGUCCCUGCUUAGUUGGCCCUUCUUGUAGAAGCAUUUAUGUCUGGGAAGCAGGGAAUGGUUAGUACUGUGAGCAGUUCUUGUCAUGAGUGGACUUAUUUAAAGGAAUGCCUUCUCUAAGGGUGCUUGGACUCUGAAAUCAACUAAUCUCCCCUACAAUAUCCAAAGCUCGAUCCUUGUGACUAACGGUGAUCAAUCCUUAGCUCUCAUGUAUGUCACACUGAUCUCUGAAGUUGGUAUUGUAAGUCAGCCAAAUGUAACCUUUAGAAGAAAGUUCUUAAUCGUAAGAGGAGUGAAGUAGGAAUAUGUAUGUGUGAGGGUGUAUCUAUUGUGGGGAAUAGAAUCAAAGAAAUUAAGUGAUAUCCACUCCCCUAUAGUGACAAGCAAAUUGUGUGUGACUCAGGAGCUACUUUCCACUCCUCUCCAUAUUCAUAACUUGGAUGCCAGCUGUUUAUUAUUAUCUUUUAUAAAUACAAAUUUUGGCACAAGCUUUCUUUACUUUCUUUAGCACUAACAUAUUAACAACAAUCAUAAUAGCUACUCAGCCAAACAUGUACAGCAGUUUCUGUUGCAGACAGUGCAGGCAGUUUGUUGCAGUGACUGACAAAAGGAUUAACUGAAGCAAGAAAAGAUAGGCUGGGUGGAAAAAAUAUGUUAAUUAGGAUUUUUGAUCCAGUUCUACCAUAUAUCUACAAGCCACUAACAACCCCUUUGGUAGUGUGUACUGAUGGGGCAUGGAGGGAAGGAACACGCUGAGGCUGGCCCCAGUAUAUACCAUGUGAAGCCAUACAGCACUAGUUGCUGGGGGGGCCUGUGAGCUCCUCUGGAAGCAGAGCAAAGGCCCUUGGAAUGCUCCUAGGUGAGUGUGACUCAGCUUGUGGCCGGUGUGAUGCUUUCAUCUGACAUACCGCUGCUUCCCUGGAGGAGACAGGGAGCAGCUGUUCCAGG
rnacentral:lncRNA from 1 species